AGGUUGUGGCCUUGAGCCGUGGCUUUCGGAGCUAACGCGUUAAGUAGACCGCCUGGGGAGUACGGUCGCAAGAUUAAAACUCAAAUGAAUUGACGGGGGCCCGCACAAGCGGUGGAGCAUGUGGUUUAAUUCGAUGCAACGCGAAGAACCUUACCUACUCUUGACAUCCAGAGAACUUUCCAGAGAUGGAUUGGUGCCUUCGGGAACUCUGAGACAGGUGCUGCAUGGCUGUCGUCAGCUCGUGUCGUGAGAUGUU
rnacentral:rRNA from 1 species